rnacentral:pre_miRNA from 1 species
UUUGAGGGGAAUGUUGUCUGGCUCGGGGUUCUCUUUCUUUCUCUCUCCCUCUAUCUUCCUCCCCUCGGUCGAUCCCUCCAUGAUCAGAUCAAAGAUCCGAUGAGGGGGGAGAGGAGAGUGAACGUGCGUAGAUCUCGGACCAGGCUUCAUUCCCCCCAAA